GCAAGUCGAACGGCAGCAUAGAGAGCUUGCUCUCUGAUGGCGAGUGGCGAACGGGUGAGUAAUAUAUCGGAACGUGCCUAGUAAUGGGGAAUAACUAGCUGAAAGGUUAGCUAAUGCCGCAUACGACCUACGGGUGAAAGCAGGGGAUCUUCGGACCUUGCGUUAUUAGAGCGGCCGAUAUCUGAUUAGCUUGUUGGUGGGGUAAUGGCCCACCAAGGCGACGAUCAGUAGCUGGUCUGAGAGGACGAUCAGCCACACUGGAACUGAGACACGGUCCAGACUCCUACGGGAGGCAGCAGUGGGGAAUUUUGGACAAUGGGGGCAACCCUGAUCCAGCCAUUCCGCGUGAGUGAAGAAGGCCUUCGGGUUGUAAAGCUCUUUCGCAAGAGAAGAAAACUUGCUAUCUAAUAUAUAGUAAGCAUGACGGUAUCUUGACAAGAAGCACCGGCUAACUACGUGCCAGCAGCCGCGGUAAUACGUAGGGUGCAAGCGUUAAUCGGAAUUACUGGGCGUAAAGCGUGCGCAGGCAGUUUUAUAAGUCAGAUGUGAAAUCCCCGAGCUCAACUUGGGAACUGCGUUUGAAACUGUAAGACUAGAGUGUGUCAGAGGGGGGUAGAAUUCCAAGUGUAGCAGUGAAAUGCGUAGAGAUUUGGAGGAAUACCAAUGGCGAAGGCAGCCCCCUGGGAUAACACUGA
rnacentral:rRNA from 1 species